rnacentral:rRNA from 1 species
GAUGAACGCUGGCGGCGUGCCUAAUACAUGCAAGUCGAGCGAACAGACGAGGAGCUUGCUCCUCUGACGUUAGCGGCGGACGGGUGAGUAACACGUGGAUAACCUACCUAUAAGACUGGGAUAACUUCGGGAAACCGGAGCUAAUACCGGAUAAUAUAUUGAACCGCAUGGUUCAAUAGUGAAAGACGGUUUUGCUGUCACUUAUAGAUGGAUCCGCGCCGCAUUAGCUAGUUGGUAGGGUAACGGCUUACCAAGGCAACGAUGCGUAGCCGACCUGAGAGGGUGACCGGCGAGAGUGGGACGGAGAUACGGCCCAGACGCCUAUGGGGGGCAGCAGGGGGGUGUAUUGCACAAUGGGGUGAAGCCAGAUGAAGCAGCGCAGCGAGCGGGAUGACGGCCUUCGGGUUGUAAACCGCUGUCGCAGGUGACGAAGCGUGAGUGACGGUAAUGGGUAAAGAAGCACCGGCUAACUACGUG